UAUCCAUUAUGGAAAAUUCAUCACUAAUACUAUGAUAUUUAUAAUAUUAUAGAAAUGGUGUGCAAUUUUUCCAUAUAAGGACAUUGUAAUCUGUUAAUGUAUUAAAUAUUUAUUAAAAGAUCUUAUACAUAAGUUUAUUCAAAUUAGUUAUUUUCGGAUUUCUAACAUAGAAUAAAUGUAUUUGAUUUAAUAAAUCAUUGACAGAUUUAUAUAUAAUAUAGUGCUUAAAUUUUGAAAGAAAUUUUACAAUAAUAUGAUAAUUCAAUUUGUUAUAUUUAUUGUAUGCAUUUAUAUGAUUAACAAUGCGAUAGAUUCAGGAUACCUUCGGGACCCGUCUUGAAACACGGACCAAGGAGUCUAACAUAUGUGCAAGUCAUUGGGUAUUUUUAAUAAAACCCAAUGGCAUAAUUAACUUAACUGUUUUUUAAAUGGGAUUAGUUUAUAUUUUAUUAUGAAAUAUUAAUUCAAUCCCGGGGCGUUCUAUAUAGUUAUGCAUAAUAAUAUUUAUAUUAUUUAUGUCUCUAACUAGAGCGUACCUUGAGCAUAUAUGCUGU
rnacentral:rRNA from 1 species